rnacentral:snoRNA from 1 species
GCGGCCCAUGCUAAACUGUGGCCAGAGAACUUUGCCACUCGGCCAUGGGUAGAAUGGGCACGCAGAGCGAACCCAAGGUUUUAAUGUCCUAGUGCCUGAAGAUAUAAAAUCCUCUUCUUGUUUUCCUGGAAUUUAAAACCACACUA